ACGGUCACAGGCAGCGAGGGGAGGCGGGGGUGGUGUUUAACUGGAGGUCACACGGAGUGGAGCUGGGGGAAGCGGCAUGGCAGCAGUUUUAAUGCUCAGAGGCUCCGCCAGGCUGUUAUACAAGCACAGGAAGGUGCACGCUGCCAGCCUUCCAAUGGUGUGUUCUAGGACAAUGGCCUCCAAAACCCCAGUUGGAUUCAUUGGGCUGGGUAACAUGGGAAAUCCAAUGGCAAAAAACCUGGUAAAACACGGAUAUCCUGUUGUUGCAUAUGAUGUAUUCCCAGAAGCUGGCAAAGAAUUUCAAGACUCAGGAGCCCAGGUAAUGGAUUCCCCAGCAGAUGUAGCAGAAAAAGCAGACAGGAUUAUUACUAUGCUCCCCUCCAGCCCCAAUGCCGUAGAAGUUUACACGGGAGUAAAUGGAAUUCUAAAGAAAGUUAAGAAAGGUUCAUUGUUAAUAGACUCCAGUACUAUUGACCCUGCCAUUUCAAAAGAACUAGCUAAAGCAGUUGAAAAAAUGGGAGCUGUUUUCAUGGAUGCCCCUGUUUCUGGUGGUGUUGGAGCUGCUCGAGCUGGGAACCUUACAUUCAUGGUUGGUGGAGUGGAACAAGAGUUUGAUGCUGCCAAAGAACUGCUGACAUGCAUGGGUUCCAAUGUGGUCUACUGUGGAGAGGUUGGAACUGGACAGGCUGCGAAGAUCUGCAACAACAUGCUCUUAGCUAUCAGUAUGAUUGGGACUGCUGAGGCUAUGAAUCUUGGAAUCAGGUUUGGGCUUGACCCAAAACUGCUGGCUAAAAUCCUAAAUAUGAGUUCGGGCCGUUGUUGGUCAAGCGACACUUACAACCCUGUUCCAGGAGUAAUGGAAGGAGUACCCUCUGCUAAUAAUUACCAAGGUGGCUUUGGAACAACGCUCAUGGCUAAGGUAUAUAAAUAUAAAUCAUAAGUAUGGAAAGAACUGUUUUAUUGUUCUUGAUUGUCAGAAUACAUGAGAAAUGUUUCUACAUUGUGGGUGUGGUCUCCCUGAAUAUCAUUGAUUGCUUAUACUGGACUUCUAACAGUGUACCACAAUUCCAGUAGCCACUGAAUGGAAUGUGAUCUUCCCUCAGUUAAAAUUGUUAAUGGUGUUUGGAAUUAUGUGCACUCCUGGAGGGGACCACAAGUUACUGUAGCUCUGAAUUAUCAGGUGAGUCCUUGAUAGGUGUGGUUGUAGGUUUAUAAGGGGGUUUCUCUUCAUGUUGGAUCAGUGAAGAUUAAUGUUAUGACUCUAUGUUCCAAAGACCGUCAACAAAGCCAUAUCUUCCUUCUUUGAAGUUGGACUUCUUCCAGCAGCACAUGCUUCUGGUCAACUAGUGGCCAUAUAGAACAAUUUCUAGUACUUGUGUAGUAUUAGAUCCUCAGAUGGUAUAAAUCAGUGCAUUUCUGUUGACUUCAGUAGAAUUAUCUGAUUUACAGUAUCCUAGGAUUUGGACCACAGUGUCUUCCAAUUGAAAAUCUCAAAGGGCUUCACAAACAUUGAUUGACUUAAUCCUCCCCAACCCCCUGUGGGAUAGGUGUUAGUAUUAUACCUAUUGAUGUGGACAUAGAGACAAUAAGAUUUAAAAUUGUGACCUCUGCAUUUAAUUAAGAACCCUUAACCAAUGAGGAACCCUAACUACUCAACUGGGCUGUUCCAGGGUGGAUUUCAGCUGUGUACUUACGUCCUGAAGGUGGGUAUGAAGGAAGUACCCCUCUAUGCUCUAAGGCCUGCCCAGGGAUCCAGGCUGGAAGCCAGAGUCUCCACCCAUUUCCCUCCUCCAUGCAGGAAGUAGGAGAGAUGAGAUGAGGGGAGCCAUAUGCUGCAUGAGACAUGCAUUGUCAUGCUCUGGGCCCAUGACCUGUCAGUCCAUUGCGUUACAGGGUCCUUACAUCAGACCUUUUAAAUCCAGCAACUGCACUAGAACCUGCCAAAGGUGUGAGUGUAAUUUAAACUUUUAAACACUCCUCUCCGAAACCAGACUUCUGAGAUGCUGGGUGGCAGGUGAGAAAACCCAAAUGGCAAUUUGCCAUUUUUGCCACAUGGGUAAAUUCCCAUUCAAUUGGCAACUGGCCUAGCCCCUAGCAUCAUAAAAGAUCCAGCUCACUAGGUAAGGGUGAGCAAGGUGGUGAUGGAAUAGCUGCAAGAGCAAAGCAGGCCCAAAAUGGCCACCCACCAGCAACAAGGGCAAGCAGAUGCUAUCUCCUUCCCUUGGCAGGCAAGAGCCAUCAGCUGGCCCCUUAUGACAGUCUCGAUUACCUGGAUUGCCCCUGUGCCCUGCCGCCCAAGGAAAGGGGAGGGAACAGGAGAGAAGCAGUACUAUCCCCCUCCACAAUAAAUAUAUUCUACAGGGAGGGGGAAUCUCAGGGAACAAAUGUAGCACGACCCCAGCCAGAUAGAUAGUCAUCCAUCCAUCCAUCUGUCUAACAGGUCAAAUACAGAUACAAACAGGCCAUGUUUCCUUGCCUUCUCUCUAUUAGAGGUGGAGAUGUGACGCUUUCAUGGCGCAUAGAGAGACAGUAAUCAUCUCUCUCUUGUAAUAUCUUUGAUGAAAGAGGUGGGAGAAUGAAACUUUCACUAUCUUCCUUAUUAUUGCAACUUUCUCCUCUUUGGUCUCUCUUGAUGUGCCAUAUUGCUCCUUUCCAGUACAUCCACAAUGCAGCAGCUAAAUAAUUUCCUCACUUGAUCAACAUCCCAUUCUGUCAUUGUCUUCUCACAUCUGUUAUCCUUGCUCUUAAACUCUUUGCACAAUGCUGCUCCCUUCUCCUCCUUUGUUCUUUUCUCUUAUUAUUUUUCUACUUUCUCUCCUCCAUCCCCUUUUGUUCCCUUCUCCCUCCUUCCUGUUUGUGCCUACCCUUUAGGCCUGAAGCUACUUUCCCAUCAGUGCUCCAGGCUCCAUCCCUCCUUUCAUUCUAUCACCUUCCAAAACCCCACAUGCUCCAUGUGAUCUUUAUCUGUCUUUAUAAAAUAAGCUCCCCAGGGCAGGAGUUUACUCUGUGAUCUGUGCUGCUGCUGCACAGAACACUUUGGCUUGGAGCUUAAUUUUCUUUUGUUUUAAAUAAAUAUUUGGAGCUUGCAUGCCACAGGCCUGUUCACAGCAUCUUCACUUUCAAGCGGAGUAAAAGCUGCAGAAAGGGAAGUUUCAUGUGGGUUCUUCUUAGUUUCUGAGCCUUUUUUUUUUUCAUUGACUCUAAUACUUCAGAGUUUAAACCAAAAGCUGCAAAAUCAAUCAAUCAACCCAAAACCCUACCCUGGCACACAUGUUUGUAUGUGACAGACACACGCAUUCUCACUCUUUCAUACUUAGGCUGCAAACUGAUUUGUGUGGGCCAACCCUGCUGCCUGCAUGAAACCUCUGCAGGGUGGGAAGCCUUCCAGAUCAGUUUGCGGGAUUGGGGCCUGUCGAGGAGUAUGAGUGGGAUUUGCAGUGUGCAGAAGGAAGUUGGAUUUUUUGCUCUUCUCUCUGUUUUUAAUCACAAAAUAUUUCAUAGUAUAUUAGCUUGUUAGUAUUUUUCACUUGUCUCCCCAUCACAAGAUUGUUUUCGGUGGGGCUCUGGACAGAUGCAGGAGUAGCUUUCAGGAUUAGGGCAGUUUAUAUGUUGAAGUGAGCACCCACUUGUCUGAGAGCCUGAAAGUGAGCAGAUAAAGAACAAACAAAACUCCUGCCUCCCUUCUCUUGUCCUUUAUUUGUGUCACUCCCACCCCCCAAUAUCCUACAACGUCAGGUGAAUGAAGAGACCCAGGAGCAGAACUAGAAAGUGAAACUGAUGGGGCUAGGGUUACUAUCUUUCAGGUUCCCCAAAAAAGGAUGCAGGGGAGGAGCUGAAGGGGGAAGUACAGUUGAGGGGGUGCUGGAAGGGGUGUGUGUGUGUACGUACAUAUGUACGUACUGGGAGGGGGUAUUUGCGGGUGAUGGAGAGUAUGUGUGUACUGAGAGUGUAUUUUGGGGGUGCUGGAAGGGAUAUUUGGGGGUGCUGGAGGGGUGUGUGUACUGGAAGAAUAUAUUUGGAGGGUGCUGGAGGAGGUAUUUGGGGGUAUGGGAAGGGUGUGUGUGUGUACUGGAGUGGUAUUUGGGGGUACUGGAGGGGUAUGUACUGGAAGGAGUUAUUUUCAGGGCCUGGAGGGGUCUUUGUGUAUUGGGAGGGGGUAUUUUAGGGAUGCUGGAGAUGUGUAUGUACUAGGAGGGGCUAUCUGGUGGGGUGCUGGAGGGUUUGUGUACUGAGAGUGGUGUUUGAGGAUGCUGGAGGAGGUAUUUGGGGUUAUGGGAAGGGUGUCUGUGUGUACUGGGAGGGGGCACCUGGGGCCUCCUUCUUGACGCAGGGGUCAGUGUUGUUCCCUGUCAUAGUGGCAGGGGCCUGGAAGGAGCGCCAGCCGUGCAUCAGCCACCUCACUUUUACUUUGUUGAUCUUCUUGCACAUAUAGUGAAAAACAGUUGAAGAAAAAUAUAAAGGACACCAGGGCAGUGAGUGGAAAGGUGAGUCCUCUAUGGACAGUUUCAAUGCCACCCAUAACUUUUUGGGUCUGGUGCCCUGGUACUAUGAUAGGCAUUUUUCUAGUGUGAAUAAAAUAGAGCAUAUCGGUGGAGCAGUAGCAGAUUGGGGAGGGGUGUAAGGAAAGUUACUACGGAACAGGAAGGAGUAGAAAGAUGGAAAGCAGUCGAUGGAAGAGGGAAAAAAAGGUAGAAGAAAAGGAUAAAGGAAAAAAUGAGACAUCAGUGCAAAGGUGUGUGAGCUGUCAUUAAAAUUGAUGUGCGCUAACUAAUUUGGCACUUCAUUCUUCAAAAUCAGAAUUUAAUUUCUAUCACUGAUAAAGCUGCCAACCUCUGGCCUAUCCAAGUGUCAGGGAUGGCUAAGGUUUCCUAAAGCACAAGAGUGUUCAUAAUGUAAAUCAUACAGUCAGAUUGCUAUUUUCCCUCAUCCGAGUCUCCUCCUCCUCCUCCUCCUUUCACCCAAAGAGCAAAGCUGAAGUAUCGGACUGUCUUCAUCUAAUCUUGAAUCUGCAACACAAGAGGGAAGGAGAGGCAGUCGAUUUUUCUAACACUUCUUGAACAAUCCUCAGGGGACACAUUGUUCCCUCUGCAUCCAAAAAUUACUUGAGUAAGCAUUUAGCUAAGGCACUAGAGCUCUCCGUUACUGAA